CCUACGGGGGGCAGCAGUGGGGAAUAUUGGACAAUGGGGGGAACCCUGAUCCAGCCAUGCCGCGUGUGUGAAGAAGGCCCUCGGGUUGUAAAGCACUUUCAGUGAGGAAGAACGCCUGGUGGUUAAUACCCAUCAGGAAAGACAUCACUCACAGAAGAAGCACCGGCUAACUCCGUGCCAGCAGCCGCGGUAAUACGGAGGGUGCGAGCGUUAAUCGGAAUUACUGGGCGUAAAGCGCGCGUAGGUGGCUUGAUAAGCCGGUUGUGAAAGCCCCGGGCUCAACCUGGGAACGGCAUCCGGAACUGUCAAGCUAGAGUGCAGGAGAGGAAGGUAGAAUUCCCGGUGUAGCGGUGAAAUGCGUAGCGAUCGGGAGGAAUACCAGUGGCGAAGGCGGCCUUCUGGACUGACACUGACACUGAGGUGCGAAAGCGUGGGUAGCAAACAGGAUUAGAUACCCUUGUAGUC
rnacentral:rRNA from 1 species